rnacentral:rRNA from 1 species
GAUGAACGCUGGCGGCAUGCCUAAUACAUGCAAGUCGAACGAAGCUGUUUUAACUGGUGCUUGCACCGACUUAAACAACUGAGUGGCGAACGGGUGAGUAACACGUGGGUAACCUGCCCCAAAGCGGGGGAUAACAUUUGGAAACAGAUGCUAAUACCGCAUAACCACAGAAACCACAUGGUUUCUGUGUCAAAGAUGGUUUCGGCUAUCACUUUGGGAUGGACCCGCGGCGUAUUAGCUAGUUGGUAAGGUAAUGGCUUACCAAGGCAAUGAUACGUAGCCGAACUGAGAGGUUGGUCGGCCACAUUGGGACUGAGACACGGCCCAAACUCCUACGGGAGGCAGCAGUAGGGAAUCUUCCACAAUGGACGAAAGUCUGAUGGAGCAACGCCGCGUGAGUGAAGAAGGUUUUCGGAUCGUAAAACUCUGUUGUCAGAGAAAAACGUGUGCGAGAGUAACUGCUCGUGCAGUGACGGUAUCUGGCCAGAAAGCCACGGCUAACUACGUGCCAGCCGCCGCGGUAA